UCCAGAUAGGAAGUCAAGCAAAAAAUUGAGGUCGUGAUUCCUUAAAAACGGCCCAAUCCAACCAACCUCUUCCCUAUUAUUUCUCCGUUUGUUCUUGUCAUCUUUUCCGAGGGUAGACCAAGUAAAAUCCAUCUGUGCCACAGGAAUACCAAGCUCCAACGGUUUGAGGAGCAUCAUCAAAGGUAAAAAGAAACAAGUUGUCUCUCGCUUUCCAAGCCCCAUGAAUGAUCCAGGAGACGGCUUGAAAUUUUCCCCAGCAAACAUCAACAAGCUCGAUAGAUAUAAUCCAAAUCAGUCUCCAUUUUCACCUUAGCAGAAGAAAUGCUCCCAAAUAACUAGCAAAAGACGAAACUAAAGGAAAGAUCUACAGGAACGUAUUACCGACAUGGAGAGAGAGAGAGAGAGAGAGAGAGAGAGAGAGAGACUGACACUGUUGUCAGUUCAAAUCCGAUUCAAAUUCGAUUAUCGCGUCGCUCUUCCAUUCCAAUCUCUCGACUCGAGCAUAUUUUCUAGGGUUUUAAUUCCUGCUACAUCACCACCAAUGGUUGAAUGAUGGACGGAAGAGAUGUCUCUGCCUGCUCUUGCUCUUUUCGAACAGCUUCGGAAAAUUCAUCUAAUGGCUUCCCAAUCUGGCGUCGUUCAGGGAAUUUCUUGUCUUGAGUCCUUUUUAGGGUGUAAAUGGAGCGAAAGCAACCAGCGCAUUGUGUCCUCCAAAUCCGAAAGGGUCAUAAAUGAACUUGCAGACCUCUUCUGGCGAGACUCCACCAUUUAGCAGGCUCUUGGUUAUGCAAGCUGAAAUUCCAAGUCCAUCUGAACAAGGAUCUGUUGGGUGAUGAGCAUCACAUGUAACGGCGCCUCCCAGGUUGGGAGUUCGUUUUCAAGGAGUUGAAUGCCAGAAUUUUGCUUAUUCGCUCGAGUGGUCUUUUGCAGUCUACAAACUACUAAGAGUUUGAUAUCUACGCUGAAGCGACGCUUCUUUCACUCGAGCGAACUUUUACAGGUCUAAAUUACUGAGAGGGGUGCAUUGUGCGCUUGAGCGACCAUUCCUGCGCUCGAGCGAUGUCUUCAUUGUGUCUGGUUACUCGAGUGACCAUUCCUGCGCUCGAGUGAUUUGCGCAUAUAUUAAGCACAAAGGGGGUCACUUUUGAGUCAUUUUCUAAUCUCUCUCUUUCUCUCUAAGUGACCCCCUUCGGACUGGGACAACAUCACCUGCAACAUCUAUUAUUAUUUUAUAUCUGUGGAAAAUCAUUUUCAGGUGCUGAUGAUAUGCCUCUGCUAAGACAAUAACUUGGGAGGACUUGGAGCCAAGAGCUUUUAUUUUUAGUUAUUGGUGUAUUUAUUUUUUACAAAUCUGGGGAUUUAUUUGUAUUGAGUUUAAAUUCACUUUUGUUGUAACCAAGCACCGUCUUGGAAAGUUGUAGCCAAUAGGGCAUUACUACAUCUGUUUAACCCUUAUUUCAUAUCUUUUACUGAUGACACAUGUUAUAGAUUUAAGGUUAAGACUUGUGAAUGCAUUACUGCAUGGGUUACACUUUUGUAAAAAGAUAAAACCUUGCGAAUGAAAGAACAUCACUUUCAAACA